CGAAAUGCGAUAAGUAAUGUGAAUUGCAGAAUUCAGUGAAUCAUCGAAUCUUUGAACGCUCAUUGCGCCCGCCAGUAUUCUGGCGGGCAUGCCUGUUCGAGCGUCAUUUCAACCAUCAAGCCCCCGGCUUGUGUUGGGGACCUGCGGCUGCCCGCAGGCCCUGAAAAACAGUGGCGGGCUCGCUGUCACACCGAGCGUAGUAGCAUACAUUCUCGCUCAGGGCGUGCUGCGGGUUCCGGCCGUUAAACGACCUUCAUAACCCAAGGUUGACCUCGGAUCAGGUAGGAAGACCCGCUGAACUUAAGC
rnacentral:misc_RNA from 1 species